GGCAGCGGGAGUCCGGCUCCCGUGCCCUCAGGGCACGAGGAAAGUCCCCCCACCGUGCGGGCAGGCGACCGGGCCCACGCCCGGGACGGGCGACCGCCGGCACUCGAACAGAAACGAGACCGCGCGGCCCGACCAACGAGGUGUGCGACCCCCACGCGAUGAAGGUCUGCGGCCCGCCGUCGCAAGGCACGCGGGUCGAAGGCCGGUCAAGCACGGGGAAGACCCCACCGAGGGCCGACGGCCGCGAACGGAUGGAACGGCGACCCUCGCCGGUGCAAGUCCGCGCGACAGGUAGUCCGACACCACCGCCACACGGCGAGCACCCUCACGGGUGACGGCGCGGACGCUCAGCCGAAUGCCGGAUCGAACAGAAGGGGGCUUACUCCCCGCAGCC
rnacentral:RNase_P_RNA from 1 species